rnacentral:miRNA from 1 species
AGAACAAUUUGUGUUUUACCGG